CUCAAUUGGUAGAGCACCUCGUUUACACGCGCGCCAAUUCUACGGUUCGAGUCCGUAUAGCCCUAUAAUAUAACU
rnacentral:tRNA from 1 species